AGAGACCCUGCGAGCGCGACGGGACAAGCGGCGCUGGGCAUCACCCGUGAACACCCAUAGCCCCCCUUCCCCCCUCCACCACCACCAUCAGUGGCGAAGGGCGUACAACAAUAAUAAAAAGGUACUCGCAACGAUAUGCCGGCCGCUGUCACGGUGCAUCCGUUGGUCCUUCUCAGCAUCGUGGAUCAUGUGACCCGCGUAGGUCUGCAGCCUCAGCAACAGCGGCCGCCGCAAAAGCAGGGCAGUGCGCCGGAUGCCGCCACCGCCUCACGCCCUGCCCCAGCUUUUCUGUCCACUGCAGGUUUGCUGAUGGGGACCACGAAAGCGUCCGGCCCUGCCGACACCAGCACGUGCGGCGCGGAGAGCGGAGGCCGAGGCAUCACCACGACGCUCUGCGCCUCCUUCGAGCUCCCGCUACGGUUGCAGUCGACCGACGGUGUGGCGGUGGCCGUGGCGCCAUCCGGGGAUGCCGCUUUUCUUCAAAACGUACUCCGCGACAAGACUGACUGGCCGGCGGCCCAGAAGCACCGCGAGCAGCUCAGCGCUGUGAUGCCUGAGAUGGACGUGGUGGGGUGCUACGUCGUCUGUGCCGGCUCACGGUGGACGAGCACGCGGCACCAGAGCGGUGGUGAUGACAGAGACGGCUCCCGGUUGUCGGUCGGAGGUGCUGUCAAGAAGGCCAAGGGCGAGGCGAUGGCCGGUGCGGACAGCAUCGCGGCGAUCGCUAACUGUGUCCAGCAGCAGCUGCGCAACACCUCGAUUUUGCCUUCGACGGCUACGGGGUUUGUUUUACUGGUAGUCUACGACAAGGAAGUGACGAGCGCUGCAGGUGACACGGACACCGCCGCACCCAAUCCGCCGCACUCCCCCGCGGCGGCGCGGCUGCCCUUUGACUGCCUCUACGUUCCGGCCACCACCGACAACGACGCGUUGCCAACGGAAGAGGUGACGGUGGGCCCUGCGGACAUGGAGUGGAUUGCCUUGGCGAACGAGGCCAUGAUGCCAGCAUACCAUCAGAACUCGGCAACCACGUCCUCUGCCGCCGUGAAGCCAGGCCUCUUGCGACGUCUCUGCAGCGCUGCCUACUUGACCUCUGAGGCCCCGGAUUCGAGAGAGCAGGCGAGCACGCAAACUUCACGAAUGGCUUCGUCGCAGAACUGUCGUGCCGCCGAGGAACUCGUUGGCAGUCUUCGACUUAUAAUGCGUAUGCUCGUCGAGAUGACGGCAUCGACGCCGAGCCCAACGGCAACGGCGCCAGACGACGUUGAACUGCUGAGGACUGUAGCGACAUGCCUCCGCAAUGUGCCGGUCAGCCGUCCAUCCCAGCCGCCGGGCGGGCCAAGAGUGCCAUCUGCGCUACCAGCUGAGGAGGUGCUUAGUGCAGUACUAGCUCUCGAGGUGCAGUGCGCACUGCGCAUGCGUUCUCUGAGUAAAGCCCAGCAGCAGCUGCUCAGCAGCCGCCGCUCUGCCAUGACCGCCCUCCACUCCAAGGCUUGCUCACCCAAGGCAGCCAAUCCACCGCCGCCGCCGCCGCCGACCGCAGAGGGGUGGUCCACGCAUGAGCGCGACAAGCGCAGCGGUGUCAACACAGCUGUCCCCGGGCACGUAUGGGAGUAACUGCAGGGCCAGCUUCACGUCCUCUAGAGCCUUUGCCGUUGCACCCUUUCUCUCCAAGUCUGCAUCGCCCAGCUCCCCGCACCUCUGCAGUAGACUACCCUCCUCCUCCGAAGUGCAGACGUGUCUCGGCGCCCCCUCCCUCCUCCCACACCACCACCACUACCCCGUCACGAGCCUCGCCCGGCAGCAGCGAUACGCUGACAACCAGCGGCAGAGAAAGAGCCGCAGCUGUCGUUUCUCUCUUGCGCUGCCUCGAAAAAGAAACAUGCGUUGGCCCACAGCCCAAGAGAGCAGCCGGAGAGCCAACUCACAACUGCAGGCGAGUGAUGUGUGCGGGGAGCGAGGGAGAGAGGGAGGGAGGGGGGCGCCACGAAGGAAAGCACGCACACACACACACACAGACACCAAACACACAAAACGAACCGAAAAGAGCGUGUGCCGGCUGUCCACAAUCAGCUGCCUUCUUCCACACCUUCAAUCCUCUUUGGGUUGGAGUGGGAGGUUCAAUGGAUGAGGAGAGAGGGGGAGGGCGGUGCAGGUUGCUCCCACAGUAGCCAGCAGGCGUUCUCUUUUCUGUUGUCUCUGCUCGCUGUUGUUAGUCGUGCCAGAAUACCCAUAUGUGUCUUUUCCACCACCUGCAGCUCUCUCUCUGUCAGUCUGUCUGAGCUUGUGUCUGUGUGUGUGUGUGUAUGCUCUUCUGUUUUUCGCUCUGUCGUUAUUCCUCUGCCUUAAGUACGAUUAUGUGGCGUCGCCACAUCUCUCUGCCCCUCCCGCUCCCGCACCGUCCCGUGAUUUUCUUUUUUCUCUGUGCCUCUGUGUGUGCGCAUGUAUGUGUGUCCGCAUCCUUUCCGCCCGACCCCCUCCGCCAAGAUCUACUGUGAGGCACACAACCGGUACGAACCGGAGAUAC
rnacentral:misc_RNA from 1 species